rnacentral:misc_RNA from 1 species
GGAAGUAAAAGUCUAACAAGGUUUCCGUAGGUGAACCUGCGGAAGGAUCAUUAUUGUAUAACCGAGGUGCGAGGGCUGUCGCUGACCCGAAAGGUCGUGCACGCCCGAGUGCCCUCACACACAUCCAUCUCACCCCUAUGUGCACCACCGCGUGGGUCCCCCUUUGGCUUGUUCGGAGGGGGGCUUACGUUUUCACACAAACUUUGUAUGCAGUGUAGAAUGUACUUUUUGUUUUUGCGAUCACGCAAUCAAUACAACUUUCAACAACGGAUCUCUUGGCUCUC